rnacentral:tRNA from 1 species
GGGUUGGUAGCUCAGCUGGUUAGAGCACGGGCCUCUUAAGCCUGGUGUCGAGGGUUCGAAUCCCUCCCGACUCACCA